rnacentral:lncRNA from 1 species
UUCAAGGACAUUGCAUUUCUUUAUUUCUGUUAUUCCAUCAGCUCCACCUCAGAUCAUCAGGCAUUAGAUCCUGGAGGUUGGGAACCCGGCCACAGACUGAGAGGGGUCACCCAGGGUUUUCUCUUCUUUAGGCUACGCUGCCUCUCCAGGCGGGAGGACUUGGGGAUCUGCAGAGAAGGGAGCCUUUGCAGGUGUAGUGCUGAAGACCCGUUUACCAGGAGAAAAAUUCCUGUAAAUUCGUGGAGAAAACCCAUGGGAAUCUGCAGACAAAAGCUUUUGGAAAAUCCAGAAACAUCCUGAGGUAAGUAAAAGAACCUUUAGAAUUUAUAGUGUUCAUCAAGUUUGCUGAAUACAAAAUUAAGACCAGAAAUUCAAUGUAAAAAAAAAAAAAAGCAACUCAGUAGAGUAUGUGUAUAACAGCACAACCUUGUAAGAAUGCAAUAUGAAAAAUGGUAAAGUGUAACUCAAAAAUGCAAUAAGUUAAAAAAGCAUGGGGAACAGUGUGG